rnacentral:rRNA from 1 species
AAUGAACGUUGGCGGCGUGGAUUAGGCAUGCAAGUCGUACGAGAAUCGUAGCAAUACGAGGAAAGUGGCGAAAGGGAGAGGAUUACGUGGGAAUCUACCCUCAGACCUGGGAUAGCGACGGGAAACUGCCGGUAAUACCAGAUAAUGUCUGCGGACCAAAGGUGUGAUUCCGUCUGGGGAUGAGCCCCCGUCCUAUUAGCUAGUUGGCAGGGUAAUGGCCUACCAAGGCAAUGAUGGGUAGCGGGUGUGAGAGCAUGACCCGCCUCACUGGGACUGAGAACUGCCCAGACACCUACGGGUGGCUGCAGUCGAGAAUCUUCGGCAAUGAGCGCAAGCUUGACCGAGCGACGCCGCGUGCGGGAUGAAGGCCUUCGGGUUGUAAACCGCUGUCGUAGGGGAGCAAGAAAUGAGGGUUCUCCCUCAAAUUUGAGCGAUCCUAGGAGGAAGGAUGGGCUAAGUUCGUGCCAGCAGCCGCCGUAA